GAUGAACGCUGACAGAAUGCUUAACACAUGCAAGUCAACUGUGGCGGACGGGUGAGUAACGCGUAAAGAACUUGCCUCACAGAUAGGGACAACAUUUGGAAACGAAUGCUAAUACCUGAUACUAUGCGAGAGCUUUGCGUCCCAUUAGCUCGUUAGAGAGGUAACGGCUCACCAAGGCGAUGAUGGGUGGCCGGCCUGGGAGGGUGAUCGGCAACAAGGGGACUGAGACACGUCCCUUACUCCAUCUGGAGGAAGCAGUGGAGAAUAUUGGACAAUAGACCAAAGUCUGAUCCAGCAAUUCUGUGUGCAAGAUGAAGUUUUCGGAAUGUAAAGUGCUUUCAGUUGGGAAGCGGUACCAGCAGAAGAAGUGACGGCUAAAUACGUGCCAGCAGCCGCGGUAAUAC
rnacentral:rRNA from 1 species